rnacentral:lncRNA from 1 species
AAUCAAUUUAAUUUUCAUUCCGAUUGAAGUGAAUUAGUAAACAACUUAUAUGAACUCAACAUCAUUCAUACUCGAUUUCAGACUUAUUUUGAUUACGCAUUAGUAAACGCACCAUUAAUAUAAUUCAAUUCGUAAAUGAAAAAUAAUGGAUUUCUUGGAAAUUUGUCAGAUCUUAGUUCCCACCUCAGUUCUGCGGGACCGACCCAUCAACCGAGCUGGCGCCCUCUAAUUCGUGACCAGAGUAAGCGCCAAAAGCGCGUCCAUGUCCGACAGCGCCACCAGAGCUGAUCUGUCCCUCCUUCACCCCCUUAAAAUUCCUCCGAAAAUCCUACCGUCUCGUCACAAUCUCACUUCCUCACUCCCUCCCUCCUCAGUUCUCCUCACACCCCCACGACUCCACCACACCCCCAAUGGCAUCCGAAAUCGACACCGCCAGAUCCGGAUCCUUAACCUCCAACGGCUCCGCCCCUGAUCCGCCGGAGCACCGCAAGGUCGCACUCAUCACCGGCAUCACCGGCCAAGACGGCUCCUACCUCACCGAAUUCCUCAUCGAAAAAGGCUACGACGUCUACGGCCUGAUCCGACGCUCCUCCAACUUCAACACCCAGCGCAUCAACCACAUCUACAUCGACCCCCACAACGCCCACAAGGCCCGCAUGAAGCUCCACUACGCCGACCUCAGCGACGCCUCCUCCCUCCGCCGCUGGCUCGACACCAUCGCCCCCA